GUAGUCUAAUAACGUUAAAUUUCCAACUGCACAAGUGUUAAGACACGGACCUCAUGUUAUGUCGCCUCAUAUAUUGCCACGACGUAUAUAGCCGUAUAUUGUCAUAUCUAUAUGUUGAAAUAAUAAAAUUGUUAUAAGUCUAACAAAAAUAAUUCAUUUCAGUAGUAAAAAGUCAUUGGAAUAUAAUUUCUCUGCGUAUAAACGGAAAGAAGUGGAAGAUGACGAAGAUAACGAAAGUUCGUUCGUUCAAUAAAAUUUGAAGGAAAGAAAUUCGAGAACAGAAGUGAUCGUUCGUCGCAAUCUAAUCGCUAAUCUUGGAUGCACUUUCAAUGCAGUGAUGCAGUUUGUCGACCUAGUAACCCAGAGUUAGCCAUUUCACAUUUAAUUAGGUAUAAAUGAAUUAUUAACGGAUCUUGUAAGCACACCGGUAAACGUGUUGCAAUUCGUGUUCCUAUUUAGCAACAUACUUUAUGUCAUUGUUUUCAGAUGGUGAAAAGAAGAUUAAGAAAACUUGCAAUUUUAUGUAAUUAUAUAAUACUUGCAAAUAAUAAAAAAUUUUGGGAGAACUUUUAGGCUCUGAAAGAACAUUGAAAGAAAUAAAGAAGGAAUAAUCUUGUAUAAAUUUA